CCUACGGGAGGCAGCAGUAGGGAAUCUUGGACAAUGGGCGCAAGCCUGAUCCAGCCAUGCCGCGUGAGUGAAGAAGGCCUUAGGGUCGUAAAGCUCUUUCGCCUGUGAUGAUAAUGACAGUAGCAGGUAAAGAAACCCCGGCUAACUCCGUGCCAGCAGCCGCGGUAAUACGGAGGGGGUUAGCGUUGUUCGGAAUUACUGGGCGUAAAGCGCGCGUAGGCGGAUUAGAAAGUUGGGGGUGAAAUCCCGGGGCUCAACCCCGGAACUGCCUCCAAAACUGCUAGUCUAGAGUUCGAGAGAGGUGAGUGGAAUUCCGAGUGUAGAGGUGAAAUUCGUAGAUAUUCGGAGGAACACCAGUGGCGAAGGCGGCUCACUGGCUCGAUACUGACGCUGAGGUGCGAAAGUGUGGGGAGCAAACAGGAUUAGAUACCCUGGUAGUCCACACCGUAAACGAUGAAUGCCAGUCGUCGGAUAGUAUACUAUUCGGUGACACACCUAACGGAUUAAGCAUUCCGCCUGGGGAGUACGGUCGCAAGAUUAAAACUCAAAGGAAUUGACGG
rnacentral:rRNA from 1 species